UACGUAGGCAGCGAGCGUUGUUCGGAGUUACUGGGCGUAAAGAGUGCGUAGGCGGUUUUCUAAGUUUGGUGUGAAAUCUUCCGGCUCAACUGGGAGGGUGCGCCGAAGACUGGAAGGCUUGAGUAUGGGAGAGGUAAGCGGAAUUCCUGGUGUAGCGGUGAAAUGCGUAGAUAUCAGGAGGAACACCUGCGGUGUAGACGGCUUACUGGACCAUAACUGACGCUGAGGCACGAAAGCGUGGGUAGCAAACAGG
rnacentral:rRNA from 1 species